UGCAGGGGGUCCCUUGAGAUGCUAGAGGACAGGGUGAUGGGUCAGAGGUUCUGAGUGAAGAAGGGGCCCAUCUCAGACUUCACAGCAGGUGCUUCCCACUUAGCUGGGGGAGGAAGACCCCUGCUUCCCUGUGCCGGGCAUCCGGCUUCUCUCCCAACCUUUCAUCGGCCAGGCCGGGGGAAUGCAGGGACCUCUGGCUGGAAGAGGAGGGGGCCGUUGCACUCCAAGGCUGGGGAGCACACCGUGGCUGUGGGAGCGCCCCGGGAGACAGGGCUGCAGAGGCAGCCUGAGCAUGGGCCCUGGAGCUCCUGUCACCCCCAGGAGCAGUGUUGCUUUCUGAUGAAAUGUGGGCCAGUGAGAAGAGAAAGUCGCAAAAUUUCAUUCUCCAGCUUGCCCCACUGGACCUGCUCCUGGGGAGGGGAAGGUAUUGGGUUCCUGUUGGAGCCUUUCUGCAGAUUUGUUUUCCCUGUCAUUAAACACCCACACUAAAAGCAAAACCAAAAGCAUUUCCCAAGCUGCUUCUCCCGCACAGCAAAAGGCCUCUCCACCCCAUAAGUGGAUCAUUACACUGAUGCGUGAGGUUUCUCAGUAGCCCCAGGGGCCUGUUGGACCAGCUGGGAGACCUUUAGUAAUUGCACCAUAGCAUACUGCAAAGGGUGAGAUCCUGCCCAGCCACAUUGCCUGGGUUCACAUCCUGAUUGUCACUUCACUUCUCUGUGUCUCAGUUGACUCAUCUGUAAAAUGGAGAUAAUAAUGGUGUCUACCUCAUGAGGUUGUUAUGAGAGGUAAUUGAAUUGACUCACGAAAGCGCACUUAGAAAGGUGCCUGCCCAUUCCUGACAUUCACUGAGUGCUUACUGUGUCUAUAAUUAACUUAGGAGAAAUGAAUUGUAUUUUUUUUUUCUGGAUGCCUCCCUUUGGCUCAGCUUCCUCACCUGCAGAAUAGUGAUGAUAAUAGUAGCUAAUGAGGUAGAUGUGAGAUAAUGGAUAAAAGGUGCUGGCAUGGAGGGACAGGCAAUUGAUCACUGUCAACAAGAACCAGGGUCAUGGCUUGUGCAUCUGAGUCCGCUGGGAUCUUGCUGAAAUGCAGAUUCUGGUUCAGAUGUCAGUGCUGCUGGUCCAUGGACCAUGCUGAGUAGGGAGAGUUCUGAUGUCCCCCACUGUGUUCCACUGGGGUGAGACUCUAGGGGACAAAAGGGUCAGUGCUUCCUGAUGGAGUGUGGACACAGAGGCCCUUAGAAAGAGGUGCCAUUCUGACAGGUUUCUCUUAUAGAGCUCAGGUUCCACUUGUUAUGGUCACCAACUCACCCAUGAAUCCCUCUUCUCCCUCCUGUCUCAGUUCAGUUCAGCAAACAUGCAUUAAGCUCCUGCCAAGCACCAGGGAUGUGUCAGGCACAGCAGGGCAGUGGGGUUGCCACAGAGAGGGAAUCAGGACUCCAGCCAGGACACUAGGUAGGGAAGCACCAGGGGCCUGGGGCGGAGAAGGCAACCAGCCAGCCCCGAGGGGCCUGGAACAUGCAGCUCAGCUUCCCUGGGAUUCUGCAGAGGGACAGGCAGGUGGAUGAAAGCUAUGUCCUUCAGCUCUAGUCCCAUCCCUUCCGUCAAGCCAAGCCCAUUCAGCAAGGAGUCCUUACUCCCUGCCUCCACUUUCUUGCCUUCCAUUUCCCCUCUGCCCAUCGAGUGUUGCUCUUGUUUCUGCCUCACCCCAGUACUGUUCUCUGUACAUUCAGGCCUUUUUUUUCUGGAGAUACUUAAUGAUCACUCUUUUCGUCAUUAUGGAUACAGCAGUGAAAAAGAAAAAUGAAGCCCCUGUUGUUUUGGAGUUACUUCCUAGUCAAGGGAGACAGAUAACCUGGUCCCCGCCCACAGGGAGCUGGCAGCCUGAUGGGGGCCCUAAGGGUGCAACUGUACUUCCCCGGGGACAAAGACAGCGCUACCUUGGGCAGUGGGUGGGAUGUCUAAUUCUGCCUGUGGGGCUGGGGAAAGAAGGAAGAAGAGACACUGGUUAGGUAGGACUUUUCUAGGUGGAGGGAAGAUGGAGAAGAGUACUUAGACAAAAGGAAGGAUGUGUGUGCAGGAAGCUCCCAAGAACGGUAUGCAUACGGUGUAUUGGGGAACCUCGUGUAGCUUCAUGUCACUUUCCUUCCCUCUCCCGUUGUUGCUGUCACCCUGUUCGUAGAAAGUGAGUGCUCUUUCCUCAAAGAUUCCCCUCAGCUCACAUGGGGACAGGUAUUUUUGGAGCCCCUGGCUGGCAU
rnacentral:lncRNA from 10 species